AAACAAGAGACUUGAAAUUUAUGAUCGCAAAAGGCAGAGAGUCAGGCUAGAAGAGGUAAUCUCUUCUUUUGGGCUCCUCCCUUUCUGGGCUCAGUCCCAAAAGAGGGGUGUGAGCUGGAGAGGCCCCCAGGGCAGGUGGGAAGGAGCAGGUUCUUGCAGGCCCAGCUUAGAACUGAGCACACCGAAAGUGCCCAGUGGGGGAGGGGCACAGUCUCCCACCUGCCCGUCCCUUUCCCCGAUACUUGCCCUUCUGUAGGACUGAAGUGUUCUUUCUCCUAGCCAUAUAAUCGGCGUCGUCUACCAUUUCACAACACAACUUCCAUUACGGACGAAAGUAUCUGUGAGUCAAUUAACCACUGGCUCUUCCCAUUCUCCAAUCCUACCAACUCUCGCAGCCACGACUCCCCAACCAGAGGUCCAAUCGGGUAGGCAGUACCUUUGGGUCCAGUUCCCUAUGCCCCGGUUCUCCUCUGCUUUCCCCUGAACCAGGGACCAGGUCUCCUGAUCCCAGCAAGUCUAACCCAGCAAGUCCAACUGCUUCUCCGAGAAGUGCCUGAUGGUAGCCACAGGAUCUCAACAUCCAGAGUAUACUGACUAAAUAUAGAACCAGGGGCCAGGGGAGUGAGAGAGCCAAAAGAGAGAUAGAGACUGGGGAGAGAGAAACACACAAGUUAAGCAGCCGAGAAAGACCAGAAUGAAGAAGAGAAAAGGCAGACUCUACGCUAGACUGGCCUAACGAGAAGAGGGAAGACCACAGAGCUCCGCAGUGCGAGGAGCUGCGGCCAACGCCUGAGGAGCGAUUUAAUUAUUUGCCAGCCAAAGGACCCUGGCUCUCUGCAAUAACCCGCGUGCCUCCGGAAGAUGGCGUUGCUGCCCAUUUCCAGGCAAUGCAGCUGCCUUGGGAGCCCCAGAGAGUGAAGAAGGACGUGACCAUCUAUGCCUGGGUGUGGAAAGUGAAGAUGAGGAUCGGGAUGGGUAGGAGAUCCAUCGGAGGUUUCUUGGGGAACCUACCCCUUGCCUAAGUUAACUGAUUCUGCAACCAAUGGAUUGAGCGUGACCUAAUGGAGGGCCUUGAGAGAGCUGUGGCUACCUUGGCCAGGGCAUCGGGAAAUGUGUGAGCUACUGAGCAGCCUCCCGGGACUGAGCACAGAGCCUUGUGGUUUGGGGCUAGGCAAAAGAAAAGAGGCAGCCCUGUUCUUGUUCCCAAAGAGCUGACUCAUCUCACUAGGUGGCUUUGUGCACGGGGCGGGCAGCCAAAACGCCUGCGGACUAUUACAAAGCAACUUUUCCAGCAUUUGCAAAAUCAUCUAACAAAUAGAAAGAUGGGGAAGGCUCUAAUGAUACUUCGGCAUCUACAUGCAGCAACAAAGCAAAAAGCAAGCAUUUAUUAAAUCAAAGCAUAUCUCCUUUUUUGCAGACCACUGUGUUAGGUGCUGGCUGGGUUCUUGCCCUUCUGUAAGGGAGAUACACAGAUACAGAUACACAGUGUUAUACAAGUGUAUUAAGAAAUGAAAAACAAGAUAGGGGCAAAAAGAAAAAGUUUAAUUCAUCUUCCCCAUGGGAUCCCUUCAAAUGUGUGAAGAUACUUAUUGGUUAGGCAGAACAGUGGAUGAAGUUCUAGAUUUUAUCAAGAAAACCUGAGUUCAAAUAUAGCCUCAAACACUUGUUAUGCGACUAACAGUGGACAAGACACUUAACCUCACAGGACCUC
ensembl:lncRNA